rnacentral:rRNA from 1 species
AGAGUUUGAUGCUGGCUCAGACCGAUCGCUCGCGGAGUGCUUAACACAUGCAAUUAGAGUGCGUAGUUGCCGUAGCAAUACGCUGAUGCGCUCACGGCGCACUGGUGCGUAUUACGUGCGCAAUCUGCACUUUGAUGGGGAAUACUUCGCCGAAAGGCGGGCUAAUUCAGCAUAAGAUUCUUCGGUCUUCGGUGUGAAGAUUGAAAGCAGCAAUGCGUCGAAGGAGGAGCCCGUGACAGAUUAGAUAGUUGGUGAGGUAUCGGCUCACCAAGGCUAUGAUCGGUAGCUGGUCUGAGAGGAUGAUCGGUUACACUGGAAGUGAGACACGGUCCAGACUCCUACGUUAGGCAGCAGUGGGGAAUCUUGCACAAUGGGCGAAAGCCUGAUGCAGCGACGCGGCGUGGGGGAUGAAGCAUUUCGGUGUGUAAAGCCCUUUCGACUGGGACGAAUGUCUCGCAAGAGGAGUGACGGUAGCAGUAGAAGAAGCGCCGGCUAUCUACGUGCCAGCAGCCGCGGUAAGACGUAGGGGGCCAGCGUUGUUCGGAAUUACUGGGUGUAAAGGGUUCGUAGUCGGUGCGGCAAGUUGGGAGUGAAAUCUCUGGGCUUAACCCAGAGGCUGCUUCCAAAACUGCUGUGCUCGAGUGUGAGAGAGGCGCGUGGAAUUGCAGGUGUAGCGGUGAAAUGCGUAGAUAUCUGCAGGAACACCCGCUGGCGAAAGCGGCGCGCUGGAUCACUACUGACGCUGAGGAACGAAAGCUAGGGGAGCAAACAUGAUUAGAUACCCCAGUAGUCC